UUAUUAUUUAAAUUUAUAACGUGAUGUUGACUGGGAUUGUUUUUUCUGUUUUAUUGGAAUUUUAAUUAAAGCCAUAAACCUGAGGAAAUAGGCCAGAUGUGUCUCCACAGUCUAAAGAGAAGAGCUGGACACAUCUGAACCAGACCUACUCAAAGAUAUCAGACUUGGUCAAACCUGUCUCCUACUUCCAACCAUCAUCAGCCUAAGAGAAAUGGUCAUCAAGGAAAUACAGCUAUUGCCUAGGGAAUUAGCAAGGCAUUUCCAACCUCCAAGCCAAGUUGUGGGUCUGAGAGACAUGUUCACCAAGAGUGGGGUGCCCAGCAGGAGCGACAUUUGGCAUCUCACUUCUGGCCCUGUGCUUACUGAGCUGCAGAUCAGAGCUGAGCUUGAUGAGGUGGGAAAGUGGAAAGGUGCAGGCAAGACUGCUGUCAAAGGAGCAGUCAGAACUGAAAGGACACGUGGAGCAGAGGUUGCCAUUGGAAGGGGUGCAGCUCCGGGAGUGAGCCCCUCUCAGAAGGAUGUGGCUGGAGCAACAGGGCCCCCGUGCCAGUUGGAGACGGCGGUUUCUCUGCACCUGUCAGAGGUGAUCCCACCUCUCCCACCCACAUCGACCUGCGGAUGCCUACUAGAGAUCAAGGAAGGCGGUUCAGGAAGCUCUCCGAAGCUCUCAGGGGCCUCGGCGCUUGGACAAGCUUUCAAGGCUGCUGCCAUUCCCAGAUGGGUCCUUUGUGAAACCCGCCCAGUCUGGGAGGUCACCUGAGGUCACCGUGUGGAAAGCCUGAAGGAGUAGAUUUUUCCACCUAAAAUUUAGAGAGCGUUUAUGCUUACACUGUCCCUGUCCCACUUGGACAAGUAUUUACAAAUAAACUGAUUGGUUUUGUUUUGGUUUGCUUUCUUCAGCACCAAAGGAAAGUCCCCUCUCCAACUGGAUAUAAAUAGGAUGUCCUGCCCACCUCUCAUUCCUAUUCCUGGAGAAUCGACAAUUUUGAGCUCCAUUUAAAGAUCCACUUGAGCAGGGUGGGCUAAAGCCAGUCUCAGAAAUUCCCUGAGAGAGACAUCAAGGAAAGCCUCUCUGCUGGCUCAUCCCCCUCCGCAUGAUUGACUCUCCUUAACCAUCUGCCUUUUCCUCGCCCCUCUGACUCUGAUGGAGAAGCUCACCACCAGACAGAGGCUGGUUCUUCUUCUGACUGUCCCUUGAUCCCCCUCCAAGUCCUGCACUGAGGAACGUCUCAGGGAAG
rnacentral:lncRNA from 9 species